GACGAACGCUGGCGGCGUGCCUAAUACAUGCAAGUUGAACGCUGAAGACUGGUACUUGUACUAGUUGGAUGAGUAGCGAACGGGUGAGUAACGCGUGGGUAACCUACCUCUUAGCGGGGGACAACUAUUGGAAACGAUAGCUAAUACCGCAUAACAAUCACUAACACAUGUUAGUGAUUUGAAAGCACCAAUUGGUGCACUAAGAGAUGGACCCGCGUUGUAUUAGCUAGUUGGUAGUGUAAUGGACUACCAAGGCGAUGAUACAUAGCCGACCUGAGAGGGUGAUCGGCCACAUUGGGACUGAGACACGGCCCAAACUCCUACGGGAGGCAGCAGUAGGGAAUCUUCGGCAAUGGACGCAAGUCUGACCGAGCAACGCCGCGUGAGUGAAGAAGGUUUUCGGAUCGUAAAACUCUGUUGUUAGAGAAGAACGUCAGUGAGAGUGGAAAGUUCACUGAGUGACGGUAUCUAACCAGAAAGGGACGGCUAACUACGUGCCAGCAGCCGCGGUAAUACGUAGGUCCCGAGCGUUGUCCGGAUUUAUUGGGCGUAAAGCGAGCGCAGGUGGUUUAAUAAGUCUGAUGUAAAAGGCAGUGGCUCAACCAUUGUGU
rnacentral:rRNA from 1 species